CUAGUAACUUUCAGUUAAUCACCCACAGCUGGAAAUAGGCUCGCUUUCCUCUGAACUGUAACACUUAGUUUCUAGCACACUUUUAUCCCUUUUCCCCACCAUGUUCACCGUAGAAAAAUGAGCAAUGAAGAGAAACAAGAAAGGUAGGGAUAAAAAAGAGAAAAGAAGACUCAUUAUCUCACCCCCAGAGAUAACCACCAUAAAUGUUCAAGAAUAUGCCUUUCUUGAUUUUUUCCUCUUUUUAUAUACAUUACCAUCUUCCUUGUCGUAAUUAAAAGAAGGAAAGUAGAAAAUGCUAUCAUUAUUUUCUUAGGUGCCAGAUACUAUGUUGAGAUUUUAAAAUCAUUAUAUUCUUUAAUCUUCAUAACGACUAUAUGAGUAUCUUAUUUUUAUCUUCAUUUGAUAGAAAAAGAAUCUCAGAGGUCGGGCGAGGUGGCUCACAUUUGUAAUCCGAGCACUUUGGGAGGCUGAGGUGAGCAGAUCAUUUGAGGUCAGAAGUUUGAGACCAGCCUGAACAACAUGGUGAAACCCCAUCUCUACUAAAAAUACAAAAAAAUUAGCCGAAUGUGGUGGCACAUACCUGUAGUGCCAGCUACUCGGGAGGCUGAGGCUGGAUAAGAACUUGAACCUGGGAGGCGGAGAUUGCAGUGAGCCAAGGUAUUGCCACUGCACUCCAGCCUGCACUCUAUCUCAAAAGAAAAAAAAAAAGAAAAGAAAAGAAACGAAACCUAGAGCUUAGAAUGUUAGGCUAGUUUCCCAAGGUGACAAACCUACAGAGGUAGGGACAGGUUGAGUCCACGUUUGCUUCACUUGCAAGUCCUUGACCUUAACUGCAACACAAUGCUGUCUAUAUGUGUGGUGUGUGUGUGUGUGUGCGUGCAUGUGUAUAUGGCUAUUAGAUAUGAUCAUAACAGAGUUAUUUUUCCUCAUGUAUAAAAAACAACAGAAACUUUAAGAAGACAAUGGGAAAAUGAAAUUUCUAAGACAAAAAGCCAAACUCUAUAUUAAAAGUGUCCUCCUAAAAGAACAGAUUCAGAAUUACUCGUAAGAGUAAUAAUUACAAGCUAGGUGUGGUGGCUCACUCCUGUAAUCUCAGCACUUUGAGUGGCCGAGGCGGGCAGAUCACCUGAGGUCAGAAGUUUGAGACCAGCCAACCAACAUGGUGAAACCCCAUCAUAAAAAUUAGCUGGGUGUGGUGGCAGGUGCCUGUAAUCUUACCUACUCAGGAGGUUGAGGCAGGAGAAUUGCUUGAACCCAGGAGGCAGAGGUUGCAGUGAGCCAAGAUUGUGCCACUGCCCUCCAGCCUGGGUAACAGAGGGAGAUGCUGUCUCAAAA